rnacentral:rRNA from 1 species
AGUCGCCACGGUAAUACGUAGGUGGCAAGCGUUGUCCGGAAUUAUUGGGCGUAAAGGGCUCGCAGGCGGUUUCUUAAGUCUGAUGUGAAAGCCCCCGGCUCAACCGGGGAGGGUCAUUGGAAACUGGGAAACUUGAGUGCAGAAGAGGAGAGUGGAAUUCCACGUGUAGCGGUGAAAUGCGUAGAGAUGUGGAGGAACACCAGUGGCGAAGGCGACUCUCUGGUCUGUAACUGACGCUGAGGAGCGAAAGCGUGGGGAGCGAACAGGAUUAGAUACCCCUGUAGUCCCUGUCUCUUAUACA